rnacentral:rRNA from 1 species
CCUGUUUAUCUUAGUGGCGGACGGGUGAGUAACGCGUGGGUAACCGUGCCCUGUACAGGGGGAUAACACUUAGAAAUAGGUGCUAAAACCGCAUAAGCGCACAGUACCGCAUGGUACAGUGUGAAAAACUCCGGUGGUACAGGAUGGACCCGCGUCUGAUUAGCUGGUUGGAGGGGUAACGGCCCACCAAGGCGACGAUCAGUAGCCGGCCUGAGAGGGUGAACGGCCACAUUGGGACUGAGACACGGCCCAAACUCCUACGGAAGGCAGCAG